ACUCCCUCCUUCAGUCAGCUAGAUCCCCAAGCUGGUCUUGCACCGUGCACUUGAAGUUCAGUCCACUCACGUUCACAGAAGAUAUCUAUAUCUUUCUACAACAAUAUUCUGUUGGUUUAUUGCAUAUUUAUUAAGGUCUCCAGGAGAUAAUUUGAUCGAAUUCACACACUAUGUUGGAUGUGUGGCUCAAGUAAUGGGCCAUCGUUAAAGUGGUGAUCUGAAAAUCACUCCAUCCCGGAUUGACGUCGUGGAAUUCCUCCAUCCUCAAUUAUAUGCGAUAGAUAUACAGACGUUUGUGGAGUGCUGGGAGUUCAUCUGUCACACCUUGAGGAACGCCGCUCGACAUGUUGCAGAAAGUGGCAUUGCUGUUGUUACUCGCUCAGGUUGUGCGUGUGAUGGAUGGCGCACCACUGGGGCUGCUGGCAAGUGAAGGGGACGUGGCCACUUCCUACCUUAUCUCCGGCCUCACAGUACCUCAUCACAACUAUCUUCACCUCAACCACCUCAACCGAGAACCUGAGCGUUCGAGUGUGUUGCGGGUCGUGCGUCCUGUCCUGCUAAAACACCCACUACCACCCCCUGACCCGCGCCUUCCACCCCGUGCUCACCCGUACUCGCUCCUCUACUUGCACUUCGUGCCCGUACACCAACUGGCGUAGCAGCAGUAGCCUCCUGGUCACAUGACACAGCCAAACGUUGCUUACCCACCAUUGACGACGACAGCACUUUAUUUCCAUCUCAGUGGGCAGAUACUCUGUAAGACAUAGGCCUAACCACAGAAAUAAAGAAACCCCUCGAUAUUAUAUCCUGAGUUCACUCCCUGGCUCGGGACAGAUGUGAGAAGGGUGUUAUCCAGUGUAACCCAACCAAACAUUGUAGGUUACCUCCGGGCAUUCUGGUUUCCUCCUGUACAAGUCAUGACAAAGUAACAGAGAAUAGACCAACCGACAGAACGGCUAGUAAGUUGAUAUGUGGUGAAAUGAUUAAUUAAUCAGUGUUGUGUGACGGAGCAGACCGUAUCCACCCUACCAGUUCACUAGCUCCAGGAGAACCAUUAAUGUCGCUGUAGAAUAGAAAGGAUACAUGUGCGUUUUGAGAACGUUGUCUUUUUAACAAAAUAUUUUGGGCACACUUACUUACCAUACCUCAUCCAACUCGCCACGUGUCAUCUUACUGCCAGACAUGUUUGGCGGUCCUCCUUUUAUUUAAUAAAUACAGGAGAUUUGAAACUUUAAAGACAAACUUAUUUAUAUUUAUGUGCUACGUUUGUACUUGCUGAAUUGUUACGUAAAUCUUAAUAAAGCUUAAUAUUUUGACCCACAUGUGUGGUGGGUGAUGUGAGCUAAGUGGAGGUGAGACUGCUUUUUUUUUUUUACGGGGAUUUGCCCACCAGGGCACAGGUCAUCUUCAACAAUAUAGGAAAACUAAGCAGUGCUGUAAACGCUCAGACGCUUUUGUUGAGUUGUAUCAGUGUGACGAAAAGGGCAUCUCUCCUACAGGGUAAUCUAGCAGUCUAGCUGGAUAGGAUUUAUUACUCGACCAUAUUGUUAUUAUAAAUGUUAACAAUUAUCUCAUGAGGUCCUCUUGUACAGAAUCCUUGGUUUGGCGCAAUUUGGGCGCAAUUGACUAAAGAAAAAUUGUGAGUCGUUUGGAAAUGAUAAUAAUAGUAAUAAUAAGUCUAAUAAUAAAAUAAUAAUAGAAUAAUAAUUUUAUAUCAAUCAACGCGAAGUGAAAUUAAGAUAAAUACUCAAUUAUGGAAAUUCUACAAGUAAAAUUAAUUGAUACAUUAACUUUGAAAUCUUAGGAUAUGUCUUCAUAGUAAAUCACUUGCCUGAAAGGGUCACGAAUGAACAGAUUAAAUUCGUUCAAAUAAGUACCAUACUGUAAAAUCAUUAUUUAAUUUUCAUUCUUUGAUAAUUUUUUAUAACUAUUGUGUCCAAAACACGCUUUGUGUUAGGGCGUAGUAUGCCACCUCCUUUUACAGUAAUACCCGAUAUUUUUUUUCUUUUAUUUAAAAUGUUACAAUUUACAUAUAUACAUAAAUAUUACAUAUUAGUAUAUUUGUCCGUGAAAUAUUUGGACGAUUUUUCUUUUAAAAUACACUUGAUCAUCCAUCUAUUAUAAUAUACCCUGCUUUUAAUACAGGCUAUUGUCUCCUUAACAUUAUAAUUUUCCUUCCUACUUAACCACAUACAGUAGGCUUAAUAUAAUCUGACAUUAGCA
rnacentral:lncRNA from 1 species